CCUGCGGGCCCGAGGACGGCGGCGCUGCCGGCGUGGCACCGACGGGGCGACCGGGCGACGAGGAGAGCGGCCUGCGGAGCGCCGGCGGGCGCACGGACCCCGCGCUGUGGCAGGCGCUCGCCGAGCUGUCCCCAAACCUCAAGCUGUCCCCAAACCUCAAGCUGUCCCCAAAGCCUGAACCCUGCGCCCUGGGCCCGGCCUACUGGUGCUCCAGUGCUGAGACUGCCCGGCGUUGUGAGGCUCAGCCGUACUGCCAGCAGCGCUCCAGGCUGUAGGGCACGGAGGAGCGACCACAGCCCCAAAUAAAGCUUGGAUGCCAGCAGCA